UGGGGAAUAUUGCACAAUGGGCGAAAGCCUGAUGCAGCGACGCCGCGUGAGGGAUGACGGCCUUCGGGUUGUAAACCUCUUUCAGUAGGGACGAAGCGCAAGUGACGGUACCUGCAGAAGAAGCACCGGCUAACUACGUGCCAGCAGCCGCGGUAAUACGUAGGGAGCGAGCGUUGUCCGGAAUUACUGGGCGUAAAGAGCUCGUAGGCGGUUUGUCACGUCGUCUGUGAAAUCCUAGGGCCUAACCCUGGACGUGCAGGCGAUACGGGCUGACUUGAGUACUACAGGGGAGACUGGAAUUUCUGGUGUAGCGGUGGAAUGCACAGAUAUCAGGAAGAACGCCGAUGGCGACGGGAGGUCUCUGGUUAGUAACUGACGCUGAGGAGCGAAAGCAUGGGUAGCGAACAGG
rnacentral:rRNA from 1 species